CGGUGUGGGGCUGAAUAGUGUUAAGAGCAAUCGCCCGGCAAGCGAAAGACUCGGGUUCGAUUCCCGAUUCAGCGA
rnacentral:tRNA from 1 species